UACGGGGGGGGCAAGCGUUGUUCGGAAUUACUGGGCGUAAAGAGUGUGUAGGUGGUGUCGUAAGUUUGGUGUGAAAUCUCCCGGCUUAACUGGGAGGGUGCGCCGAAGACUGCGAUGCUGGAGUAUGGGAGAGGAAAGCGGAAUUCCUGGUGUAGCGGUGAAAUGCGUAGAUAUCAGGAGGAACACCUGCGGUGUAGACGGCUUUCUGGACCAUUACUGACACUGAGACGCGAAAGCGUGGGGAGCGAACAGG
rnacentral:rRNA from 1 species